UACGAAGGGGGCUAGCGUUGCUCGGAAUCACUGGGCGUAAAGGGCGCGUAGGCGGCCAUUCAAGUCGGGGGUGAAAGCCUGUGGCUCAACCACAGAAUUGCCUUCGAUACUGUUUGGCUUGAGACCGGAAGAGGUAAGUGGAACUGCGAGUGUAGAGGUGAAAUUCGUAGAUAUUCGGAAGAACACCAGUGGCGAAGGCGGCUCACUGGACUGGUAUUGACGCUGAGGUGCGAAAGCGUGGGGAGCAAACAGG
rnacentral:rRNA from 1 species